AUCAACAGCCUUACCACGUUGAAAGCCCCGGGUUUCUCGUCCGAUCUCCGAAAUAAGCAACGUCGGGCGUAGUUGUACUUAGAUGGGCGACCGUUUGGGGAACACUGCGUGCAGUUGACA
rnacentral:rRNA from 1 species